AUGGCGACCGGCGCACGGGUGAGUAACACGUAUCCAACCUGCCGAUAACUCGGGGAUAGCCUUUCGAAAGAAGGAUUAAUACCUGAUGGUAUAAUCAGACCGCAUGGUUUGAUUAUUAAAGAAUUUCGGUUAUCGAUGGGGAUGCGUUCCAUUAGGCAGUUGGUGAGGUAACGGCUCACCAAACCUUCGAUGGAUAGGGGUUCUGAGAGGAAGGUCCCCCACAUUGGAACUGAGACACGGUCCAA
rnacentral:rRNA from 1 species